GCGACCAUGGCGCAGACGGUAGCGGGUAAGUCUCAAAAUCUUACGGUCGUGAGUUCGAGACUCACUGGUCGCA